UGGCGGCAUGCCUAACACAUGCAAGUCGAACGAACCUUCGGGUCUAGUGGCGCACGGGUGCGUAACGCGUGGGAAUCUGCCCUUAGGUACGGAAUAACUCAGGGAAACUUGUGCUAAUACCGUAUGAUGUCGAGAGACCAAAGAUUUAUCGCCUAGGGAUGAGCCCGCGUAGGAUUAGCUAGUUGGUGGGGUAAAGGCCUACCAAGGCUACGAUCCUUAGCUGGUCUGAGAGGAUGAUCAGCCACACUGGGACUGAGACACGGCCCAGACUCCUACGGGAGGCAGCAGUGGGGAAUAUUGGACAAUGGGCGAAAGCCUGAUCCAGCAAUGCCGCGUGAGUGAAGAAGGCCUUCGGGUUGUAAAGCUCUUUUACCCGGGAAGAUAAUGACUGUACCGGGAGAAUAAGCCCCGGCUAACUUCGUGCCAGCAGCCGCGGUAAUACGGAGGGGGCUAGCGUUGUUCGGAAUUACUGGGCGUAAAGCGUACGUAGGCGGCUUUGUAAGUCAGAGGUGAAAGCCCACGACUCAAUCGUGGAACUGCCUUUGAGACUGCUUCGCUUGAAGAUGGGAGAGGUUAGUGGAAUUCCGAGUGUAGAGGUGAAAUUCGUAGAUAUUCGGAAGAACACCAGUGGCGAAGGCGGCUAACUGGACCAUUCUUGACGCUGAGGUACGAAAGCGUGGGGAGCAAACAGGGAUUAGAUACCCUGGUAGUCCACGCCGUAAACGAUGAUNACUAGCUGUCGGGGCUCUU
rnacentral:rRNA from 1 species